GUGCAGCAGGCGAGAAUUUUUCUCAAUGGGCGAAAGCCUGAAGGAGCGACGCCGCGUGGGGGAUGAAUGGCUUCGGCCCGUAAACCCCUGUCAUUUGCGAACAAAUUGUUUUGCAUAACACAUAAAGCAUUGAUUGUAGCAGAAGAGGAAGGGACGGCUAACUCUGUGCCGGCAGCCGCGGGUAAUACAGAGGUCCCAAGCGUUGUUCGGAUUCACUGGGCGUAAAGGGUGCGUAGGCGACUGGGUAAGUCUGACGUUGAAAUCUCCGAGCCUAACUCGGAAACUGCGUUGGAUACUAUCCGGCUAGAGGAAUGGAGGGGAGACUGGAAUACUUGGUGUAGCAGUGAAAUGCGUAGAUAUCAAAGUGGAACACCAGUGGCGAAGGCGAGUCUCUGGACAUUUUCCUGACGCUGAGGCACGAAAAGCCAGGGGAGCAAAACGGGAUUAGAUACCCCGGUAGU
rnacentral:rRNA from 1 species